AUGUCCAGGGCUGGGAUCCUGGAACGGGCUGGGAUGGAGUCAGAUGCUCGGGCAAGCUGGGAUGCUGGGAUGAGCUGGGAUGCUGGGGUAAGCUGGGAUGGCGGGGAGCCCAGGAAGCCCCAAGUUCUCCUGGAAACCAAUGUCCAACACUGUGACCAUCGGGACCUCAGGCUAGUGUCCAGUAUUGUGGCCCCUAGUGUUAGGACAUAUACCACCAAUUAGUCACCAUGACACUUUGGUAAGGUGGCCACACACCCCCAGGACCCACCCACAACCUAUGGGUGGACCCAGAACAUCAAUAAGAAAUUUAGUGGUGUUACAAAGAAGUAAAUGUUAGGGUAGUCAAAUGUGACGAAGUCAUAUAACCCUUGAUCAUAUGUCUAUGGGAAAUCAGCCACUUUCGUUGAACAGUCUCUAACCCUGUAUUCAAGACACGCUAGACACCUUAUCCACUGCCCACUGGUUUAGUACAUUAGACCUGGCUGCCGGGUAUUGGCAGGUAAAACUCAUUCCUAGGGCCUGUCAAGCCAUGGCCUUCUGCAGUAGGAAGAGCUUGUUCACAUGGUAUGUCAUGCCUUUCAGUUUAUGCAAUGCACCAGCCACGUUUAAGCAUUUAAUGGAUCAUGUUCUGGAUAGAGUUUAGAUUCUCUGGAUAGAUUUGAGAAUCUCAAGCCAAACUUGAUGCUUGAACCAAACUAGAUCCAGGCAGGGUUGGGCUGAGAUUUUCCACAACUUUCCUUGUUUUAACGCUACUUACCAAAAAAUGUUGGGUUUGGGUCAGGCAGAACAUGCACAGGCCGGUUGAGCUGGAUGUUUGGCCCGAUCUAAGCUUUAGUUAUGCCCGGCAUGCAGUGGAAGACCUGUCUUAUGUACUUAGAUGACAAUUCUGAGCAAAGAUGCUUCAGAUAUGCUGGAACACCUUGAACAGGUAUUCGAAAGACUCUGCCAAGCAAAAUCUCAAUCUAAAGCAAGCCAAAUGCUGUCUUUUUCAUGGACAGGUAGCAUACAUUUGACACAUUGUGUCUGAACAUGGCAUUUCCACUGACUCGCAAAAGAUCUUAAAAGUGCUGGAAUUGCCAAUGCCCCACAAUGUCUCAGAAGAUCGACAGUUUGUUGAUCUUGCUUUGUACUACAGAUGAUUUGUGAAAGACUUUGCUGCUGUGGCACAACCCGUUCAUUUGGCGCAAAAA
rnacentral:lncRNA from 1 species